rnacentral:rRNA from 1 species
UACGUAGGGUGCGAGCGUUAAUCGGAAUUACUGGGCGUAAAGCGUGCGCAGGCGGUUCGUUGUGUCGGCGGUGAAAGCCCCGGGCUUAACCUGGGAAUGGCCGUUGUAACUGGCGAACUGGAGUGUGGCAGAGGGGGGUGGAAUUCCGCGUGUAGCAGUGAAAUGCGUAGAGAUGCGGAGGAACACCGAUGGCGAAGGCAGCCCCCUGGGCUGACACUGACGCUCAGGCACGAAAGCGUGGGGAGCAAACAGG